CCUGCCCCCGAGUUGGGGACAGCCCCGGGAAACCGGGAUUAAUACCGAAUGUGUCAUCAGGUCGAAUGACCCGGUGAGUAAAGGUGGGGAUCCUUCGGGACCUGCCGCUAGGGGAGGGGUCCAACUCCUAUUAGCUUGAUGGUGGGGUAACGGCCUACCAUGGCUGUGAUGGGUACCCGGGCUGAGAGGCUGGUCGGGCACACCGGAACUGAGACACUGUCCGGACUCCUACGGGAGGCUGCAGUCGAGAAUCUUCCGCAAUGCGCGAAAGCGUGACGGAGCGACGCCGCGUGGACGAGGACGGCCUUCGGGUUGUAAAGUCCUUUUAGGGGGUAUGAAAUUCAGCCGGUCCAAUAAGCCGGUUGUUUGACGUCAACCCCAGAAUAAGACACGGCUAAGUUCGUGCCAGCAGCCGCGGUAAGACGAAUGUGUCAAGCGUUGUUCGGAAUCACUGGGCUUAAAGCGCUCGUAGGCGGCUCAGUCAGUCAGCGGUGAAAUCCCACGGCUCAACCGUGGAACUGCCUCUGAUACUGCUGAGCUUGAGGACAGGAGGGGAGAGUGGAAUUCUGGGUGUAGCGGUGAAAUGCGUAGAUAUCCAGGAGAACGCCGGUGGCGAAAGCGACUCUCUGGUCUGUUUCUGACGCUGAGGGGCGAAAGCUAGGGGAGCGAACGGGAUUAGAUACCCCGGUAGUCCUAGCCGUAAACGAUGGGCACUAAGUCGAGGAGUUCUAACGGCUUCUCGGCUGUAGCUAAAGCGUUAAGUGCCCCGCCUGGGGAGUACGGCCGCAAGGCUAAAACUCAAAGGAAUUGACGGGGGCUCACACAAGCGGUGGAGGAUGUGGUUUAAUUCGAAUACACCCGAAAAACCUUACCUGGGUUUGACAUGCAGGGAUUAACCCGCCGAAAAGCGGGGGAUUGCCUUACGGUGUAACCUGCACAGGUGCUGCAUGGCUGUCGUCAGUUCGUGUCGUGAGAUGUAGGGUUAAGUCCCUUAACGAACGAAACCCCUAUUCUUAGUUGCCAGCGCGUAAUGGCGGGGACUCUAAGGAGACUGCCUCGGUCAACGGGGAGGAAGGUGGGGACGACGUCAAGUCCUCAUGGCCCUUAUACCCAGGGCUACACACGUCCUACAAUGGUCGAUACAAAGGGAAGCAAAGCCGCGAGGUGAAGCAAAUCCCAAAAAGUCGGCCCCAGUUCGGAUUGCAGGCUGCAACUCGCCUGCAUGAAGGUGGAAUCGCUAGUAAUCGCCGGUCAGCUAUACGGCGGUGAAUACGUACCUGAGCCUUGUACACACCGCCCGUCAAGCCAUCCGAGUUGAGUUCGCCAGAAAACGUUGACCUAACCUUCGGGAAGGAGACGUUUAAGGCGGGCUUGGUAAGGAGGACUAAGUCGUAACAAGGUA
rnacentral:rRNA from 1 species